rnacentral:rRNA from 1 species
GUUGGAAUCGCUAGUAAUCGCAGAACAGCAUGCUGCGGUGAAUACGUUCCCGGGCCUUGUACACACCGCCCGUCACAUCAUGGGAGUUGGCUUUACCCGAAGGUGGUGCGCUAACCUAGCAAUAGGAGGCAGCCAACCACGGUAAGGUCAGCGACUGGGAUGAAGUCGUAACAAGGUAGCCGUAGGGGAACCUGCGGCUGGAUCACCUCCUUU